UACGAAGGGUGCAAACGUUGCUCGGAAUUAUUGGGCGUAAAGCGCACGUAGGCGGCUAUCUAAGUCGGAUGUGAAAUCCCUCGGCUUAACCAAGGAAGUGCACCCGAAACUGGAUGGCUUGAGUACAGAAGAGGAUCGCGGAAUUCCCGGUGUAGAGGUGAAAUUCGUAGAUAUCGGGAGGAACACCAGUGGCGAAGGCGGCUCUCUGGGACGGUACUGACGCUGAGACGCGAAAGCGUGGGGGAGCGAAACAGG
rnacentral:rRNA from 1 species